CAGUCGCCACGGGAAUACGUAGGGUCCGAGCGUUGUCCGGAAUUACUGGGCGUAAAGCGUGCGUAGGCGGCUUCUUAAGUCGGAUGUGAAAUCCCUGAGCUUAACUUAGGAAUUGCAUUCGAUACUGGGAAGCUAGAGUAUGGGAGAGGAUGGUAGAAUUCCAGGUGUAGCGGUGAAAUGCGUAGAGAUCUGGAGGAAUACCGAUGGCGAAGGCAGCCAUCUGGCCUAAUACUGACGCUGAGGUACGAAAGCAUGGGGAGCAAACAGGAUUAGAUACCCCAGUAGUCCCUGUCUCUUAUAC
rnacentral:rRNA from 1 species